rnacentral:lncRNA from 1 species
GGUUAUAAUCAGCUGUUUGGUUAAAUGAACUUCUGCUGCAUAUUUUUAUACAUAAUUGACCAUUUUGAUACGAUUUAACAAAAGUAUAUAACUUUGUGGUGUUGGGAAACUUAUUUCCCUCAUCAAGAGAUUGUUGCAUACAUGUACGGGUGAUCUAUUCCUAGACACAUUGGUUUAAUAAAGGCAGUUAAAAAUUCUGUACGGGAAUGAGGAUUAUUUAUAAGACUGAAAUUAUUGUACUAUUUGCUGGUAAUGUGGAAUAUGAGGAAUUUAAAGCCAUCCAUGAGUAGUUUUGAUGAUUCAGCUGGAAAUGAUACAGUUUGCUCCCACCUUAAAACAGUACAUGAUAUAUCAUGGACAGGACACCAAAGACAAAGAAAGAUCUAAAUGCCAUAAUUUUUGGCAUCUUGAAAACUGGAAAGGCGGAUCUCUUUGAAGCAGAUGAUAGUUAUAAUGUAUAAAAGAAUUCUUUGCGACAGUUAUACCAGUUGGAACAGGUAAUAGUUUAAAUUAUGGAAGUUUGAAAUUACUUCUGGGAUAAAUUGAUACAAAAAGGCAUCAAUCAAAGCUGGGACUAUUAAACUAGUAUAAAUAAGUCCCAGAUCAAAGCAUUCAGAAGAUUAAAUAAAUUUUACUAAACAUACUUUUCAAAAUGUCUUUUUUUAAAUUGAAUUAAAAUAAAAUUAUUGUUUGAAUUUUCUAGUCAAUCUAACUUUAAAUAAGUUAUCAGAAGAAAAUAAAUGCAUGUUUAUUACAGACACUUUCAUGAGUUUCUAAUUUUUUCCUUAUCUGUAAUAACAUAUGUUUUAUCAGUUUAUAUCAUAAAUAUUUUAUCUUUAAAUCUUGGAAUUCUUAAAACUGGCAGUGCUUAAUUGUUACCUGAAACUAAUUUUCUAAUUAAAUUAAUACAUUUUGAUCACACCAUGGUAAAUCAAUGAAACAAGGCUUAGUUAUUACAAGCAUGUAACUUACUAUAUGAAUAAAUGAGACUUGAAUCUUGCGCAGUGCAUUACUGAUCAUCAUUUCUUAAUGAAUUGAAUACAUUGUUAUGCAAUUUUAAAACAUGUUGAAUAUAGAGAAGCUGUAAUAACACCAUUGGUUAUUGCAAUAUAUUUGUAAUAACCUGCAAUUGGUAAACUUGAUGUAUAUCCAAAGUUUGAAAAUUAAUAUCAAAAGAACUUGAGAAAAAUUUUAAAGUAUAUUUUCAAUUAACAUCCAUAUGUUAACAGUUUUUUGAUAUUUUAGCAAAUAACAACAUAUUUGCACAACUUUAUGCAUGAUCAUGAUGACAAUUGAAUAAUCAAUAAAUCACUUAUAUUUUUUAGUUACAAUGUGAAAUUAUUAUCUGCAAAUUUAUGAUCUGUGCUGAUGCAAUUUAUACAAUUUUAUUCAUCAUGUUCAAACAUUAUUUGAACCUGUUGAAUAGGAUAAUAAUAUAAAAUAAAAAAAAUAACUAUCAGACUCAAAAGUUACAAAAGAAGAAGAUUUUGUAUGAUCAUGAUGAUUGCCAAUGAGAAAAUCACAUGUACAACUACACAUGUAUCCUCCAUAUACAUACACACAGACCAUGUCAUCUUAUUCAUUAUGUUUAUCAUGUUUUUAUCAUUAAUAUGUACAUGUACAUCCUGUACAUGUAAGCAACUACAAAUGAAUACAUUUGUAUAUACAUGUAGAAUAGAUACAUGUAUAAAAAGAUGUGGUAUGAGUGUCAAUGAUACAAAUCUCCAUCCAAGUCACAAUUUAUAAAAGACAAUCCUACAGUUAUCAGGAUAGUCAUAUAUGUUUAUGUCAGAUAUACAUGUAAACAGUAAGCUUAAUUUGUUAAAAAGCAGGAGCAAAUUGUUGCUUUUUAAAUUAUGAGAGUCAAAUUUAAUUUUUUUUGUAAUUUUGAUUGCUACAUGUACAUAUACAAUGUACCUAUAUUUUACAUGACCUUAUGACAUACGAAAGACACAUAUAUUUUAAAGUGGUUAUUGCAUAUAUUUAUUUAAAAAAAAUAAAACUUGUAUAUCAAAUCUUAGAUAAUUGUAUUGUUAAUCCACUAUUUAGAUGGGUUCUUUUGGGACGGCAAUACCUUUGUUUCAUAAAUUUGUUGUUUAUUGUCCUCUAUCAUGUUCAUGUCCUUAGAAACAAAAUCUAGACAUGAUAUACACAAUGGCGGAUCCAGAAAUUUUCAUAAGUGGGGGCCCACUGACUGACCUAUGAGGGGCCCUGCUCCAGUCAUGCUUCAAUGAUUCCCUAUAUAAGCAACCAAAUUUUUUUCCCAAAAAGCCCCCUCCCCCCUAAAUCCGCCUCUGAUACAUGAUACAAGGAUUUCAAACUUUUAACAUUUAGUACAAAACUGAAAAAAAAUAGCUUAUUUUGAGAUCUUGUCAUUAGUAUUUACAGAUACAUUUGUACAUUUGUACAUGUACAUGUAUGAUCAUGGUGAGCAUAUAAGGUUAGUUUGACUCAAAUAUAUCAAGUAAACUUGUAAAGUAAUAAGUAAAUCACAAUUUACCUUUCUGUUCUAAAUUGUUCAUUUAGAUCAUUUUGUACAUUAACCUGUCCAUUUAAAAAUAGAAUUAAUCAUACAAAAAAGUCUUGUAACUUUGAAAGGUUGAAUAAGUUUUCUAUGUUUUAAUAUGGUAAGAUGUUAAGAGAUCAUUAUAUAUUUUCCACAGGUUCUUAGGAUAAUAAAAUAACUAAUUUGAUAUUAAAUACAAUUUUUCCAAAUUCAAUUCAAAGAAUAAUUGAUCACCUGAUAAGCUGUUAUUUCUUUAAACAGAUAAAAGAUACAUCAGCUGACAGACUUACAUGUAGAGGAGCCUUUAAUUAGAGAAAUGGAUCAACUUGAUUUUGAAGUUAACCUACUGCAUUUAUAUGAAAAAUUCAGAAGUGAGUACCAGUAUCUCUUAAAGUACAUUUUUUACAUGUUUAUCUUCAUUUAGAUAGAGUACCAUAUAAGAUAAAGUAUGUGGAAUCUUAAAUCCAGUAUAUAUACUAGACAUUAUACAUCAGUACAUACAUACAUGUACAUAAUGCAAAUCAUAAUAAGAAGGCAUAACAAUUGAACUGUUAAACAAUUAUUAGAUGACCCGUGUCACCUUAAUUUAAAGAAAAAAUUAAAAACACAGGUAACACACAGACAAAAAUUAAUGAGACCAUGUACUCCAGAUAUGCAAGAAGGGUUUUAAUCUCCCACUACAAAUGAAUAUGAAGUCCUGAAUGUGAAAUCCUCUAAAAAAAUUAUAUUAAACUUCAAAUAUGUGUACUUGAAUACAUGUAUAUAUAAUAUUCAAAUUCAUCUUAUUUAAUAUAAUUAAUUUAAAACAUUUUCAAGCAAAAAACUGAUGUAUAAAUGUAUAGCUUAACUGUUCCUUUAUUUUUUUUUCAGGUGACUGAGCUAAAAGAAAAACACACAUGAAAAUGUAACCAGUUUGGCACCAUCAAAGUGACCAACAUAACAUUUGAAUACCUUUUAAGUUUUU